GGCUGAGCGGCGAGCUGCGCUUGCGUGCGCAGAGCUGGGGGCCCCCGGCCAGGCGCAGGGUUCGCGCGCGCCCGGCUCUGCGUGCGGGCUGCGGGAGGCGCGUGGGCGCGCGGGUGGGCUCGUCGCCGGCUGCCAGCCCGGGUCGGGGCCGGGUGCGAGGGCGCUAGCAAAUCAUUGAAAGCAUGGGAUAAGGAAAACAGCAAAAUUCUUCAGUCUGUUUUAGUCUCAUCUGAAAAUCUACAGAAAUUUCCAGCAUUAUUUUUGUCUAGAACAUUUUAUGGAAUGAUCAGUUGGUAAAAUUGAAAUUCUUUCACUCAGAAGAACAAAAUCAAG